CAGCGAUCAGAGGAGAGAGCUGCAUGUUUCUCUGAGUCUCCGGGUCCAUGUUGGAGUUGCUCUGCUCUGCUGGGUCAUUUCAGGCCACGUCUGUCCGAGCACAGGAGCAAACGCUGGUAUUACAGGGAUAUCUAAUAAAGGACAUACACAUAUACUGUGCUGCAGCUUCGAGGGCAAAGCAAGGCAGGCUGCUCUCAUGACAAGCUUUAGGGGCAUGUAAGGUUUUCAUGUUGGGAGGGAUUCAUCCACCUCGGCCCUGGCAGGACUAAACCUUCCAAUGUCUUUCUGGUAAGAACAGAUUUAACAGAUUUAUAGAAACCGAAAUGAAAGUU
rnacentral:lncRNA from 1 species